rnacentral:rRNA from 1 species
UACGAAGGAUGCAAGCGUUAUCCGGAUUUAUUGGGUUUAAAGGGAGCGUAGGCGGCCUUAUAAGUCAGUGGUGAAAUCUCGUUGCUUAACAACGAACGUGCCAUUGAUACUGUAGGGCUUGAGUACAGAUGCCGUUGGCGGAAUGUGUCAUGUAGCGGUGAAAUGCAUAGAUAUUCGGAAGAACACCAGUGGCGAAGGCGGCUCACUGGACUGGUAUUGACGCUGAGGUGCGAAAGCGUGGGGAGCAAACAGG